rnacentral:rRNA from 1 species
AUUGAACGCUGGCGGCAGGCCUAACACAUGCAAGUCGAGCGGUAGCACAGAGAGCUUGCUCUCGGGUGACGAGCGGCGGACGGGUGAGUAAUGUCUGGGAAACUGCCCGAUGGAGGGGGAUAACUACUGGAAACGGUAGCUAAUACCGCAUAACGUCGCAAGACCAAAGAGGGGGACCUUCGGGCCUCUUGCCAUCGGAUGUGCCCAGAUGGGAUUAGCUAGUAGGUGGGGUAACGGCUCACCUAGGCGACGAUCCCUAGCUGGUCUGAGAGGGUGACCGGCAACACUGGAACUGUGACACGGUCCAGACUCCUACGGGAGGCAGCAGUUGGGAAUAUUGCACAAUGGGCGCAAGCCUGAUGCAGCCAUACCGCGUGUAUGAAGAAGGCCUUCGGGUUGUAAAGUACUUUCAGCGGGGAGGAAGGUGUUGAGGUUAAUAACCUCAGCAAUUGACGUUACCCGCAGAAGAAGCACCGGCUAACUCCGUGCCAGCCGCCGCGGUAA